GAUGAACGCUGGCGGCGUGCCUAAUACAUGCAAGUCGAGCGAACGGACGAGAAGCUUGCUUCUCUGAUGUUAGCGGCGGACGGGUGAGUAACACGUGGAUAACCUACCUAUAAGACUGGGAUAACUUCGGGAAACCGGAGCUAAUACCGGAUAAUAUUUUGAACCGCAUGGCUCAAAAGUGAAAGACGGUCUUGCUGUCACUUAUAGAUGGAUCCGCGCUGCAUUAGCUAGUUGGUAAGGUAACGGCUUACCAAGGCAACGAUGCAUAGCCGACCUGAGAGGGUGAUCGGCCACACUGGAACUGAGACACGGUCCAGACUCCUACGGGAGGCAGCAGUAGGGAAUCUUCCGCAAUGGGCGAAAGCCUGACGGAGCAACGCCGCGUGAGUGAUGAAGGUCUUCGGAUCGUAAAACUCUGUUAUUAGGGAAGAACAUAUGCGUAAGUAACUGUGCACAUCUUGACGGUACCUAAUCAGAAAGCCACGGCUAACUACGUGCCAGCAGCCGCGGUAAUACGUAGGUGGCAAGCGUUAUCCGGAAUUAUUGGGCGUAAAGCGCGCGUAGGCGGUUUUUUAAGUCUGAUGUGAAAGCCCACGGCUCACCGUGGAGGGUCAUUGGAAACUGGAAAACUUGAGUGCAGAAGAGGAAAGUGGAAUUCCAUGUGUAGCGGUGAAAUGCGCAGAGAUAUGGAGGAACACCAGUGGCGAAGGCGACUUUCUGGUCUGUAACUGACGCUGAUGUGCGAAAGCGUGGGGAUCAAACAGGAUUAGAUACCCUGGUAGUCCACGCCGUAAACGAUGAGUGCUAAGUGUUAGGGGGUUUCCGCCCCUUAGUGCUGCAGCUAACGCAUUAAGCACUCCGCCUGGGGAGUACGACCGCAAGGUUGAAACUCAAAGGAAUUGACGGGGACCCGCACAAGCGGUGGAGCAUGUGGUUUAAUUCGAAGCAACGCGAAGAACCUUACCAAAUCUUGACAUCCUUUGACAACUCUAGAGAUAGAGCCUUCCCCUUCGGGGGACAAAGUGACAGGUGGUGCAUGGUUGUCGUCAGCUCGUGUCGUGAGAUGUUGGGUUAAGUCCCGCAACGAGCGCAACCCUUAAGCUUAGUUGCCGUCAUUAAGUUGGGCACUCUAAGUUGACUGCCGGUGACAAACCGGAGGAAGGUGGGGAUGACGUCAAAUCAUCAUGCCCCUUAUGAUUUGGGCUACACACGUGCUACAAUGGACAAUACAAAGGGCAGCGAAACCGCGAGGUCAAGCAAAUCCCGUAAAGUUGUUCUCAGUUCGGAUUGUAGUCUGCAACUCGACUACAUGAAGCUGGAAUCGCUAGUAAUCGUAGAUCAGCAUGCUACGGUGAAUACGUUCCCGGGUCU
rnacentral:rRNA from 1 species